UAUCUUCAUAUUACUAUUAGAAUGAACUGCUCAUAAAAUGCAUUGCUGGGACUUGAUUAAGUGGUCCAAUGAUUAAGACUUUCCUUUCCAAUGCAGGGCAUACCAGUUCCAUUCCUGGUCAGGUAGCUAAGAUCCCACAUGCCUUGAAGCCAAAAAACCAAAACAUAAAACAGAAGCAGUAUUGUAACAAAUUCAAUACUUUAAAAAUGGUUCACAUAAAAAGCAUUUUAAAAAUGCAUCGCUGAAAAUGCCUAUAUUUAAUAUACCACUUCCAGUUUCUUUAAACCAUCCCACUUUCACAAACAUGAUUUUAAUUUACUUCUAAUCAUCUUCAGUGUUAAUUAUUUUUAUGCUCAGUACCUUUUAGUAGUGCAGAACCUUGUAAUAAAUUGUGUGCCUUAGUCUGUCACACCAAAACAUUUACAAUUGCACUGCAUCCCCAUCACCUAGCCAAAUUCCUUGCACCAUAGUUGGGACUCAAAUAACAUUUACUAAAUGUCCAGUGAUAUUAGUACCUCUUCUGGGUGGUACCAUCAAUCCAUCCGUCUAAGCCCUGAGACCCAGCUGGCCCCCUACCAACCCUGACGCUUGAGCAGGCAGACCUAUAGCAUCGCCCCAAGGCACCACACCUUCUCAGCUCCUGUUCUAAAGCUUGAAUUCCUGACACCAUUUCCAAACAUUUUCUAAACAUCAUCUAUGCACUUGAAUCACCAAGAAUCAUAUUAUAAGAGCUAGUCUUUCUUCUCUGUCAACUCAGUUUCCUCUUUAUCACCAACUGGUCAUCAUAAACAGUUAUUAUAUUUAUUUAGCUUAUAUUUUGUACCAGACCCUGUGUUAACUAAUGUGGAUGUGUUGUUUCAGUAAGCUUCACAUGCUGGGUUUAUGGGGCUUCCCCUGUGGCGCUGUUUCCUGCCUGCCAGUGCAGGAACCAUAAUGAGGCUUGGGUUCUAUCUCUGGGUCAGGAAGAUCUCUGGAGGAGGGCAUGGCAACCCACUCCAGUAGUCUUGCCUGGAGAAUUGCAUGGACAGAGGAGCCUGGCGGGCUAUGGUCCAUAGGGUCACAAAGGGUUGGACACGACUGAAGCAACUUAGCGUACCUGCAUGCACGCACGUGGGCUUAUACCACUGUUAACCCUUUAUCGUUGAGGAAAUGAAAGUGCAGAGAGGUUAAGAAGCUUACCCAGGGAGUGAGAAGCAGAGCUGACCUUUGAACUGAGUCAGUAUAACACCAGCACUGAGGCGCUAUACCAAGGGCAAGGGCUUAAAUGGUGAAAAAGAACAGGAGGCCUUUCCUCAGUGAAGUUCGAGUUUACUAGGGGAGACAUAAAUGGGCAAUUACAGCCCCACACACGACCAAGGCCUUGUGCUGUGGGAGCACCCAUCAGAUUCCUACACCGCACGGGGGUCAGGGAGGAUGAAGUGAAGGUAGGCCCAGCAAAGAACAUGCCUUUUUAGAGUGGGAAAACAUGUCUUUCGAAAAAAUAAUCUUCUUUAGCAGCAACCAUUUGAUUUAAUUUUUGGCUGUGUUGCACAGUAUGUGGGGUCUUAGUUCCCAGACCAGGGAUUGAACCCAUACCCUCUGCAUUGGAACCAUGGAGUCUUAACCACUAGACCACCAGGGAAGUCCCCAUGUGGUUUCAUUUUUAGCUUUAUUAUAUUUCCAGUCCUCUUGAUAAUGGGCUGUGUUAAUUAAAUCAAUGAAUAGUGAGUAGCUUUUUUUUUUUCCUACUUCUGCUGGGGAUCCUUCUGAUUUGAUCUCAUAUCACAGACUCAUCAGUGAAAUGGCUGCAGGCUGGGAGCGGGGAUAAAUGCUAAAUCACACAAUAGUUAUGUUUGCACAAACUGGCCAGAAGAUUUAUGUCCAUAGAUCAUAUCAAACUGGAGGGAAAAUACAGAGUGAUAGAACAAGCAAACAUUAGAUUUAUUUUCCCUUUUUCACUAUGAAAUAUUCCAUAAAUACAGUAGAUGAUGUAAGAUACAUACGUGAGUGUGUGAAAGUCCCUUAGUUGUGUCUGACUCUUUGCGACCCCAUGCACUAUACAGUCUGUGGAAUUCUCCAGGCCAGAAUACUGGAGUGGGAAAUGGCAACCCACUUCAGUAUUCUUGCCUGGAAAAGCCCAUGGACAGAGGAGCCUGGUAGGCUACAGUCCAUAGGGUCGCAGAGUCGGACACAACUGAGCGACUUCACUUCACUUUUUCUUGAUAGAGGUCAUCAUUAUUCUGACUGUGCUGAUUAUUUGAAAAGGAUUUAGAAAGCAGGUAAAUGCAUUUACAAAGAUAUCAAACUGGGAAUUAGAGUAUAUUGGUACUUGGGAAACUGAAAUUAUUUUUUAAUAUUUAUUUAUUAUUAGUUCAUUUAUUUGGCUGCACUGGGUCUCACUUGCCGCAUCUGGGAUCUACUUCCCUGACCAGGUGUGUAACUUGGGCUCCCUGCAUUGCGAGCACAGAAUUUUAGCCACUGGACCUCCAGGGAAGUCCCCUGGGAAACUGAAAUUAGAAUCUUCACUGACUCAAAGCGUGGUCAUAAAUAGAGUGUCCUAUAAAGUAAAGAGAACUUAUUUUAAUUUAAAUAGCAUGAAAACAAAGUGGAUUACAAAUGUUGAAGAGGAAGUACCAUGGAAGUAGUAGAAUCUUAGUUAUUAAUGAAGUAACCAAGAUAUCAGAGGAUAACUGUAACUUUUAAGUAUGGUAAAGCAUACGUAAGUUAGGAACUGCUAAUUUCCAUAUGACUUCAAUUUCUACUUUAAAUAGAAUUCAGUCAUCCAAAAAAAUAUUUGCCAAGCACUAUUCCAGGUGAGUUGGACUGUGAAGAAGGCUGAGCACCGAAAAAUUGAUGCUUUUGAACUGUGGUGUUGGAGAAGACUCUUGAGAGUCCCUUGGACUGCAAGGAGAUCCAACCAGUCCAUUCUGAAGGAGAUCAGCCCUGGGAUUUCUUUGGAAGGAAUGAUGCUAAAGCUGAAACUCCAAUACUUUGGCCACCUCAUGCGAAGAGUUGACUCAUUGGAAAAGACUCUGAUGCUGGGAGGGAUUGGGGGCAGGAGGAGAAGGGGAUGACAGAGGAUGAGAUGGCUGGAUGGCAUCACUGACUCGAUGGACGUGAGUCUGAGUGAACUCCGGGAGUUGGUGAUGGAUAGGGAGGCCUGGCGUGCUGCGAUUCAUGCAAAGAGUCGGACAUGACUGAGUGACUGAACUGAACUGAACUGAACUGAUUCCAGGUGAAUGAAAGAGACAGAGAUCUCUGCGUUUGGGGAGCUGUAUUCCAGUUAGGAGACGCAGAUAAUCAUCAGUAAGCAUCAAAAAUAAGUAAAUAAUAUUGGUGAGUGAAGAGUCCCAUUUAAAAAGAUAAAGUUGAACGAAAUAAAAUUGCGGGGUUAAAUAAGAUGGUCAGGCUUGGCCUCAUUGGGAAGACCUGAGCCAGGGUUUGAAGGAGCUGACUGUCUGAGGGAACAGUGUUCUGAGCAGAGGGAACAGCUAGUGCUGAGGCCAUAAGGCACAGGUAAGCCUGGUGCCUUCGAGGGAAAAGGCACCUGUGUGGCCUGGAGGGAGAGGGUAAUAGGAGGUGUGGUUGGAGACAUAGGGGGAAGGUGAAGAGAUGGCAGAUCACGUAGGGUCUUGUAACCCAUCAUGAAAACAUUGGCUUUUACAUUGAGUUAAACUGAGGGGCCGUUACAGGAUUCUGAGAAGAGGAAUAAUGUGAUCUCACUUACAUGUCAAAGGCUCACUGUGAUUGCUUGACAAAAAGCUGGAUAAAGUCAGAAAUCUAUUAAGAAGCUUUGGGAAUCGGCAUAUAUUUUAAUGGCAGAGCCAACAGGAUUUCCUGGCAAAGUGGAUGUGGGAUUUCAGAGAAAGAGGAACCAAAGAUGUCUCCAAAGUUCUUGACCCAAACAAUGAGAAGGAUGGAAGUGGCAUCAACCACGUGGGCAGUUUAGAGGGA
ensembl:lncRNA